AGAAUCAACGCUGGCGGCGUGCCUAAUACAUGCAAGUCGAACGCGAAAGUCCCGCAAGGGAUGAGUAGAGUGGCAAACGGGUGAGUAACGCGUGGGUGACCUGCCUUCGAGUGGGGGAUAACGUUUCGAAAGGAACGCUAAUACCGCAUGACAUCCUGCCUUUUAACAGGCGGAGAUCAAAGCCGGGGAUCGCAAGACCUGGCGCUUGAAGAGGGGCCCGCGUCCGAUUAGCUAGUUGGUGGGGUAAUGGCUCACCAAGGCAUCGAUCGGUA
rnacentral:rRNA from 1 species